rnacentral:rRNA from 1 species
UGGGGAAUAUUGGACAAUGGGCGCAAGCCUGAUCCAGCCAUACCGCGUGGGUGAAGAAGGCCUUCGGGUUGUAAAGCCCUUUUGUUGGGAAAGAAAUCCAGCUGGCUAAUACCCGGUUGGGAUGACGGUACCCAAAGAAUAAGCACCGGCUAACUUCGUGCCAGCAGCCGCGGUAAUACGAAGGGUGCAAGCGUUACUCGGAAUUACUGGGCGUAAAGCGUGCGUAGGUGGUCGUUUAAGUCCGUUGUGAAAGCCCUGGGCUCAACCUGGGAACUGCAGUGGAUACUGGGCGACUAGAGUGUGGUAGAGGGUAGCGGAAUUCCUGGUGUAGCAGUGAAAUGCGUAGAGAUCAGGAGGAACAUCCAUGGCGAAAGGCAGCUACCUGGACCAACACUGACACUGAGGCACGAAAGCGUGGGG